AUUGAACGCUGGCGGCAGGCCUAACACAUGCAAGUCGAGCGAGCGGCGGACGGGUGAGUAAUGUCUGGGAAACUGCCUGAUGGAGGGGGAUAACUACUGGAAACGGUAGCUAAUACCGCAUACCAUCAGAUGUGAGCAGGUGGGAUUAGCUAGUGGGUGGGGUAACGGCGCACCUUGGCGACGAUCCCUAGCUGGUCUGAGAGGAUGACCAGCCACACUGGAACUGAGACACGGUCCAGACUCCUACGGGAGGCAGCAGUGGGGAAUAUGGCACAAUGGGCGCAAGCCUGAUGCAGACAUGCCGAGUGUGUGAAGAAGGCCUUCGGGUUGUAAGGCACUUUCAGCGGGGAGGCGUUACCCGCAGAAGAAGCACCGGCUAACUCCGUGCCAGCAGCCGCGGUAAUUC
rnacentral:rRNA from 1 species